rnacentral:rRNA from 1 species
AACGAACGCUGGCGGCAUGCCUAACACAUGCAAGUCGAACGAGACCUUCGGGUCUAGUGGCGCACGGGUGCGUAACGCGUGGGAACCUGCCUUUAGGUUCGGAAUAACUCAGAGAAAUUUGAGCUAAUACCGGAUAAUGUCUUCGGACCAAAGAUUUAUCGCCUUUAGAUGGGCCCGCGUUGGAUUAGCUAGUUGGUGGGGUAAAGGCCUACCAAGGCGACGAUCCAUAGCUGGUCUGAGAGGAUGAUCAGCCACAUUGGGACUGAGACACGGCCCAAACUCCUACGGGAGGCAGCAGUGGGGAAUAUUGGACAAUGGGCGCAAGCCUGAUCCAGCCAUGCCGCGUGAGUGAUGAAGGCCCUAGGGUUGUAAAGCUCUUUCACCGGUGAAGGAUAAUGACGGUAACCGGAGAAGAAGCCCCGGCUAACUUCGUGCCAGCAGCCGCGGUAAUGUGACUACUG